CACGUAGGGCGCAAGCGUUGUCCGGAAUUAUUGGGCGUAAAGAGCUCGUAGGCGGUCUGUUGCGUCUGCUGUGAAAACUCGGGGCUUAACCCCGAGCCUGCAGUGGAUACGGGCAGACUAGAGGUAGGUAGGGGGAGAAUGGAAUUCCCGGUGUAGCGGUGAAAUGCGCAGAUAUCAGGAGGAACACCGGUGGCAAAGGCGGGUCUCUGGGCCGAUACUGACGCUGAGGAGCGAAAGCGUGGGGAGCGAACAGG
rnacentral:rRNA from 1 species